rnacentral:rRNA from 1 species
GCGAACGCUGGCGGCAGGCUUAACACAUGCAAGUCGAGCGGGCGUAGCAAUACGUCAGCGGCAGACGGGUGAGUAACGCGUGGGAACGUACCUUUUGGUUCGGAACAACCCAGGGAAACUUGGGCUAAUACCGGAUACGCCCUUACGGGGAAAGAUUUAUCGCCAAAAGAUCGGCCCGCGUCUGAUUAGCUUGUUGGUGAGGUAACGGCUCACCAAGGCGACGAUCAGUAGCUGGUCUGAGAGGAUGAUCAGCCACAUUGGGACUGAGACACGGCCCAAACUCCUACGGGAGGCAGCAGUGGGGAAUAUUGGACAAUGGGCGCAAGCCUGAUCCAGCCAUGCCGCGUGAGUGAUGAAGGCCCUAGGGUUGUAAAGCUCUUUUGUGCGGGAAGAUAAUGACUGUACCGCAAGAAUAAGCCCCGGCUAACUUCGUGCCAGCCGCCGCGGUAAUU